CUUUUGCCUAGUUGUUGUAGUGGAAGACUCAUGCUUUAUUUAUAUUCGAUUGACUGGUGUCUGGCCAGAACACAACUCCAACAGAUAUUUUGAGAAAACUGAAUGGCUUUUCCAAAAGUUGAGUUGCUUUUCAUUAUGUGGUAGAAAUGGUAGAAUAUAUAUUUUCGUUUCACAUUCAUUAUAUACAAAGAGGGCCUAAGAGUUGCAGAGAAGGAGAAAAAGUUGAUUCCAAUGGCAGAGAGUUCUUCAUCAUUCGCUGUGUCCACCUCUCCCACUAGGCAUGAUGUGUUUCUGAGCUUCAGAGGGGAAGACACGCGUGACAACUUCAUUAGUCACCUUUAUGCAGCGCUGAAGAGGAAGAACAUUGAAACAUACAUUGAUUACAGACUACAGAGGGGCGAAGAAAUUUCACCUGCACUGGAAACUGCCAUAGAAGAAUCAAAGAUUUAUGUCAUUAUUUUCUCUGAAAACUAUGCAUCUUCCACUUGGUGUUUGAAUGAGCUCACUAAGAUACUGGACUGCAAGAAGAGAUAUGGAAGAUAUGUGAUACCCGUUUUCUACAAGGUGGAUCCAUCAACUAUUAGGAAGCAGAAAGAGAGAUACAAAGAAGCAUUCGAAGAGCAUGAACAUCGGUUUAAGGAGGACAUGGAGAAAGUGCAAGGAUGGAAGGAUGCUCUAACCGAAGCUGCUGGACUCUCAGGCUGGGAUUCAAAAGUCACCAGGCCAGAAUAUACACUUGUUGAAGAAAUUGUGAAAGAUAUUUUGAGAAAACUGAUCAAUCGUUGUUCCAUUAGUUAUGAUCAAGGAAUCAUCGGCAUUGAAAAACAUAUUGAAGCAAUUCGGUGUUUGUUGCAUCUUGAGUCACCGUAUCUUCGGAUUAUAGGAAUUUGUGGCAUGGGAGGAAUAGGAAAAACUACAAUCUCUGAGCAAAUAUAUCACACAUUGGCGGUGCACUUUGAUUCCAGAAGCCUUGUUUUAGACGUUCAAGAAAAACUACAAAGAGAUGGAAUAGACAGUAUCAGAAUAAAAUAUAUGUCUGAGCUUCUAAAUGAAGCACCAUCCCCUCUUUUAUUAUACUACAAGGAAAGGCUUAAACGGACAAGGGUUCUCCUCAUUCUUGAUGAUGUUACUGAUUCAGCUCAACUUGAAAAAUUACUACGAGGGUGUGAUAGUUUUGGGCAGGGCAGUAGAAUCAUUAUGACCGGUAGAAACAAACAAGUGCUUAAAAAUGUUGGAGCUGAUGAUGUCUACGAACUUAAGGGGUUGAAUUUUCAUGAUUCUCUAAAACUUUUUAGUUUACAUGCUUUUAAACAAAAUUCUUUACGAGAAAUCACUUACAUGGACUUGUCAGUAAAGGUGUUGAGAUAUGCAAAAGGGAUUCCGUUAGCUCUUCAGAUUUUGGGCUCAUUGCUUUAUGACAAACCAAGAGAAGCAUGGGAAAGUCAGUUGCAAAAGUUGGAAAGGUGUCAGGAUCUUAAAAUUUUCAAUGUAUUAAAAUUGAGUUAUGAUGAGCUUGAUGAGGAGCAGAAGAAUAUAUUUCUUGACAUAGCUUGCUUUUAUAGAGGACAUGAGGAGACUGUGGUAGCAGAAACACUAGAUGACUGUGGUUUCUCUUCUAAGAUUGAAAUGGAUGUUCUCAAAGAUAGGUGCCUAAUAUCUGUCUUGGAUGGUAGAAUUGUGAUGCAUGAUCUAAUACAAGAAAUGGGUCAAGAGAUUGUUCGCAAAGAGUGUCCUCAGCAUCCUGGUAAACGUAGUCGAUUGUUGAAGGUUGAGGAGAUUAGUGAGGUUUUAAGAAAUAACAAGGGGUCCGAAGCACUACAGAGUAUAGUAGCAGAUAUGAGAAAAAUGGAAGAAGUUGAAGUACAUGCACAAUGUUUCGAAAUGAUUAAGAAUCUUAGGAUGCUUAUGCUCUAUUAUUCUAGGUUUAGAAAUGAAUCAAAUGUGUUUCGUGAAUCAUCUCUCAUAAUUCUGCCAGAGACUUUAAAGAUUCUUUAUUGGACCGGUUUCCCUCAAAGAUCUUUGCCACCGAACUUUUGUCCCCAAAAUCUAGUGAGACUCGAAAUGAUAGGCAGCCAUCUGGAACAACUAUGGGAAGGAGAUCAGUAUUUACCGAAGUUGAAAAGGCUCAACCUGAGUGGUUCUCUGAAACUCACUAGAAUACCAGACCUUUCUCUGUCACCAAAUAUUGAAGAAAUAAUUCUCAGUAGCUGUGAGAAGUUGAUUAAUGUUCAUUCUUCCAAAUUACUCAGCAGGCUCACUUGUUUAUGUUUAGAUAAUUGUUAUGAUCUGAAGUGUGUAACUGUUCCCAGCAAUAUUCUAUCCACAUCACCAGGAUUGAUUCUUCUUUCCCAUUGUCACGAGCUUGAAAUUUUUAAAACAGUUGAAACUCAAUUAUGCGAUUUACCGUCAUUAUCAUCAAGCCGUCUAAGAUGCAAUUGUGCUUUGUAUGGUAAGGCACUUCGCUCAAGACUCCAUCACAGUGAAAUUUUCUCAAUUACUUUUGACAGAUAUAAGGAAGAAGAAGUGGCUAAUAAUGACAUAUGCUUACAAUGCGAUGGAGUGUCGAGGAAACUCACAGAAGGUGUGCCCUUAGACUUUCAAAGUCUCAAGAAGCUCUGUUGCUUAGAUCUCUCAGGCUGUUCUUCCCUUAAAAUCUUUCCAUUUAACCUUUCUGAGAUGAAAUUUCUAAGGCAACUUUGUCUCCGUCGUUGCUCAAAAUUGGAAAAUUUCCCCGAGAUUCAGGACACGAUGGAAGAUCUAACGGUGCUCAUCUUAGACAGAACAGCCAUACAGGCACUACCUUCGUCCUUGUGGCGUUUGGUAGGGCUUCAAGAACUGAGUUUGUGCACGUGCAGGAAUCUUGAGAUUAUUCCAUCUUCCAUUGGAAGCCUCACCAGACUAUGCAAGUUAGACCUUUCCUACUGUGAUUCACUUCAAACUUUUCCAAGCACCAUUUUCAAAUUGAAGUUGAGGAAACUUGAUUUGUGUUGUUGCUUUAAGUUCAGGACCUUCCCAGAGAUCACGGAGUCGGCACAAACUUUUGCUCACAUUAACUUAACAAAUACGGCUGUUAAAGAACUCCCUUCCUCAUUUGGCAAUUUGGCUAAUCUUCGAUCCCUGCAACUCAACCGGUGCACUAAUCUCGAGUCACUUCCAAACUCCAUUGUUAAUCUAAAACAUCUCUGUAAACUUGAUUGUUCGGGGUGUGCCAAAUUAACAGAAAUCCCAACACACAUUGGUCUUCUGUCGUCAUUAAUGGAACUGUCACUGAGUGUGACCGGAAUCGUGAACCUUCCCAAGAGCAUUGUUCAUCUUUCGAGCUUGAAAUCACUUGAUUUAACUGGCUGCAAAAAUCUUGAAUGCAUCCCACAGAUUCCACCAUUUCUAAAACAACUGGUGGCAUUGGAUUGCCCAUCCAUUAGACAAGUGAUGUCAAAUUCUCUUGCUCGAAACAUCUCAAAUUCCAAAGAGAGUGUCUUCAAAUUUUACUUGACCAAUGCUCAACAACUGGAUUCAGGUGCUCGUGCUAACAUUGAGGAGGAUGCAAGGCUUAUGAUGACAGACGAUGCCUAUAAGUCUGCGUGCUUCUGUUUUCCAGGGAGUGAAGUUCCUAAUUGGUUCCCUUUUCGCAGCGAGGGAGCUUCAGUGACUAUAAAUGAGGAUUUAAGUUUCUGCAGCGAUGACAGGCUCAUUGGUUUCGCUUUGUGUGUGGUUUUUGGAGUGUUAGAUACCAAUGAUAUUGAAGGUAGACGUGGUUCUUUUGGUUACAACCUAAAAUUUGAAUCUGAUGAUGAUGGCACGCAGAUUAUUCCAAAUAACGAUGUGUUAAAGAACUAUUUCGAAUGGAAUUAUGAAGACAAAGUCGUUGAUAAAGAUCGCACAUUCAUGUGGAAAUUUAAGUUGGAGUCCCUAAGGAGGAGUGGCAUGAGGCUUAGGCUCUGUGAUGCUCGCAGCUUCACUUUUGAGAUCAGUCGGAAUGAUUAUGACUUUGAGCAACCAGAUUACGAAUCAGUUGUGGGAGAGUUCAAAUCAGUUCUCACGAUAAAAGAAUGCGGCAUUUGUCCUCUUUAUAGCAACGGAAGUAAUGUUUCACAGUCUUCAAGGACAUAUAGGAAGAGGCAGAAGGCCGAAAGCUACCUAGUCAGCUAGUCUCUUGCUCUUCUGCUAAUUAGUCUUUCCUUGUGAAGGCAUUAUGAAAUCCUGAGGAGCUACUGCAUUUUGAAAAGGUGGCUGACCAGAACAAGCAGCUCCCACAGAUAUUUUGAGGAAAUUGAAUAGCUUCUCCAAAAGUUGGUGUGCUUUUUAUUAUGUGUCAGAGCAACAAUGGUACGAUGUGUUUCUCAACUUCAGAGGAGAAGACACGCGUGACAACUUCAUUAGUCACCUUAAUGGAGAGCUGGAGAGGAAGCACGUUGAAGCAUACA